GGGUCAGUGGGUUGGUCGUGCCACCGGUACGUACUGGUCUCACUGAUUCCUCCUUCCUGAAGAACCGUAAUGCCAUUAAUUUGGUGUUGCGGGGAAACAGGACUGUUACUUUGAAAAAAUUAGAGUGUUUAAAGCAAGCUAACGCUUGAAUACAUUGGCAUGGAAUAAUGAAAUAGGACGAUCGAUCCUAUUUUGUUGGUUUCUAGGAUUGACGUA
rnacentral:rRNA from 1 species